AAUGCUGUGAAAACAUCAUUGUAAAAUGCUUCUUUUUAUUUUUGAUGAAACCGGAGCUCGUGCUCUUAUUUUGAAAGGCACACUUGCCUUUCUCAACAACUUCCGGUUAGCUUAACGUGUGCACUCGUUUUUUUUCUAACGUAUGAAAGGAAGCUGAUAUAUGCUGAAUACGUUCAGAUUAAUAUAAGAGACUAACAGCAAGCAAAACUUGUUUUCUCCCCUCCCAUUCGGAGCUACAAGCAGGCAAAGUGGUUAGUAGACUUUGUAACCUUUAUUUGUGAUUUAUGUGUUAUAUUUAUGUAAACAUAUUGUUUAUUCUGUCGGUUUGUAGUUCUACGGUGGUUUAUGGUGCUGCAUGAUGCUAGCUUUGCUAGUCAAUAACGGCACAAAUAAAGAACGCCAUCUGUAAAAAGAACUGGAGUCCUCGCGUGCUUCGAUGGGCGGCAUAGUAGAACACUUCACCACGCAAAGGAAAGGUGAAGACUCCAUAUGAAGAGCGAAGUGUGCCAAACCGUUGAGGACGUCGGGUAGAGGAGCAGUCUGCAGUUGAAGAUACAUCGUGUCAUCUGGUGAACGUUGUGUUGAGAAGAUUAAAGGAGCAGUAUGGACAAAGCUUAAAAGGUGGACACGUUAAAGUAAACGGGUCAGAAGUAGCAGAAAGAUCCAGAACUGCCAUGAACUUUUCAUCACACAUUCCAUCGUGUACAUCUUAAAGGAGCAGCGAAGCUUCCCUUCCACUUGGCUACACUGCAAGAGCUAAGUAACUUUAUAGGCAAAUCCACUCAUCAAGUAAUUUGAUUAGGAAAAAUAUAUAUAAAUAAAUAAUAUUAAGGGUUUAUUCUCUAGGUUAUGCAUAUAAUUGCAUUGUGUUUGCAUUAAGAUUGUGUGGAGGUUGCUGGUAAUUGUAUCACAGGAGAUUCUUAUUUGUGUUUCUGCCAAAUGUGCUGUUAACAUUUAUUUUAAGUUGUUUACAUAAGAGUUUAGACACAAGUUAAGCUCAAGUUAACGGCAGAAAAUUGUUCAACCUUUAUCUGUUUACUGAAAUUCAUUUUAUUCCUUUAGUUUACAACUCUAGUACAUUUAUAGGCUUAAAAGUACACAGUCAGUAUGUCACAAAGGGGUGAUAUUGAAAAUAUAUGUACUUCACAAGAGAAAGCUGAUAUUAAUGAGCAAGUAGAAGCAACUACAAAGGAAAUGCAAGCUCAGGUUGAGUCACAUAAGCAAGCUAGUGAGACGGUCACAUCAACUGCACUAGACUCACUGUCUCAAACUAAAGAUCUCCCACAUUCUGCAUGCAUUAGGAAAAGUGAACGCAAACGAACGCUCACUGAAAAAGGACAAGCUUUAGCAGAUGAUCGACUGAAGGAUCUGAAGGCACAGUUCAACAGAGCUUAUGAGCGGUGGAAGCACAAAAUAAAUGGACUGAAAAAGGCCAUAAAGUACAAUGAUGAUUCUGAGCUAACGGAGAUCAUGAGUAAAAUAAAUACAAACCAAGUUGAGAUAGAUAAUAUUUAUCUUAAAAUAAGAGAUACUGUACAUCCAGAUCAUCCAAAUUCAGAAAUCCGCAGAAUCAACGAUACCUGCCAAUCGCUCACCAAGGUUGCAAAUAAAAAGGCACAGAAGUUUCUCAUCAAUGAUGGAAAGACCAGACAUUCAAAGGAGUAUUCGUACAGGUCACAAGAUGCUAGACAAGCUGCAGCAGAAGCAGCUGCCACAGAGGAAGUCCUAAAAAUAAUGAAAGCUCAACAUGACUGUGAAGAAGAAAUCUGGAGACUUGAGCAGGCAGAUCAAGUGUUGGCAGCUGAAAAAGAAGCAGAGGAAAUUAGGCAGAAAGCUGAAAAUGAGGCUGAGAAUGCAAGGAAAAGAGCUCAGUUUAUUGCAGAAAGUGCAGCUAGAAAGAUGAAGGUUGAGGAGAAGAAGAAAGAAGUUGAACGAUUAGAGGAACUUAAAAGGCUUAACGCAGCAAAGGCAAGGCUGAAAGUGUAUUCUGAAAUUGUUCAUAGUGACGAUGAAGAAGAUCAUCUGUUGCCACCUCCUCUACCACAAAAUCCAGCACUUUCUCAACCUCUUAGCUCACAAGAAAGGCAUCCUCAAAUCCUUCCAGCAAACCAAUCCGUAGCUCAACAACCAUACCAGGUUACAGUCACUAAAAGCUUUACUCCUCAUUCACCAAUCUAUACCUCAGUAUCUGUGCCACAAGCAUCUUCAUUUAAUAAACCAACUGUGAACUAUCAGUCCAAUCCCAUUCAAACAGUUACAUCAAACAACCCAAAUGACACAACCAAUGAAUUGGUUAAAACAUUAGCGGAAGCUAUCGCUGCAAAUCGAAUCCCAAUUCCUGAACCUGCUGUUUUCACUGGAGACCCCCUGAAGUACACUGAUUGGAAACUUUCUUUUUCCACUUUAAUUAAUCAGAAAAACCUUCCAAACCAAGAAAAACUGUUCUUCUUACGCAAGUAUGUUGGCGGUGCAGCAAAAAGAGCUAUAGAAGGUCAUUUUCUGGUUGGUUCAGAAACAGCUUAUAAUGCUGCCUGGAAUGUGCUCGAAGACAGGUUUGGCAAUCCUUUCCUGAUUGGCAAGGCAUAUCGUGAUAAAAUACAUUCAUGGCACAAAAUUGGCCCAAAGGAAACUGUGGAGCUCCGUGAGUUUGCAGAUUUUCUGAGCAGUGUGGAAUCAGCCAUGUCAUAUGUACAAGGAUUACAAGUUCUGAAUGACUGUAUGGAAAAUCAAAAAAUAGCACAAAAACUACCAGACUGGUUGAGCUCACGGUGGAACAGAGCAGUCGUUACUUUCCAGGAUGAAAUCGGUGCAUUUCCUGACUUUAAGUACUUCGUCUCAUUCCUCAACAAAGAGGCUCGCAUUGCUUGCCACCCUGUUACAUCUUGGCAGGCUAUGAAUCUAAAGGGAGAGAAAUCAAGGUCAAGCGAGCAAGACAUAAGAGGAUCUCCAAAAGAUAAAGUUGGUGCUAAGACAUUCACUACAAACACAAGUGAAAGGAUAGAUAAGAAGUGUCUUUACUGCAAAAGGCCACAUCACACUCUCCAUAAAUGUCGCAAGUUCAUCGAAAAACCACUUGAUGAAAGAGUCAAGUUUGUACGGGAAGAGAAACUCUGUUUUGGUUGCCUUGAGAAUGGACAUCACUCCAAGGUCUGUAAGUCUAGAAGUACAUGUGACACGUGUAAAAAACCUCACCCAACGUGCUUACAUCAAAAUCGUGAAAAAAGGGAACAGAAGCAAGAAAAUAAUCCAAAACAAACUCAUUCAACUGAAAAUGACAAGGAUGGGUCUGAACAAGAUCAACCGAGGGUAAACAACCAAGACAAAGACAAGAGUUUUAAACCAAAGCAAACACUUGAGUCAGAUGGAGCUACUUCUCUAAGGAUUAUUCAAGAAAGGGGCGGAACUCUCACUUCACCAAUUGUUCCAGUCUAUGUGUCCUCAUUGACUCAACCAGACAAGGAAAUACUAGUGUAUGCUCUGCUCGAUUCUCAGAGCGACACUACGUUCAUCUUGAAGGAUGUAGCCGACACACUGGAUGCCAAGAAAGAUCCAGUAAAGCUCAAGGUGUCAACAAUAACCUCAAGAACAAAGGUUGUAUCCAGUGAAAGGUUGACUGGUCUGGAAGUGAGAGGCUUGAAAUCUGAAGUUAAGAUCAAGCUUCCAGUAAGCUACACCAGGGAGUAUAUACCGGCUAACAGAGCUCAUAUUCCCACAAGUGAAACCGCAAUGUCCUGGCCUCACUUAGAACAUCUUGCAGAGGAGAUGUCGCAAGAAUUAGAUUGUGAGGUAGGUUUGCUAAUCGGUUAUAACUGUUCUCAGGCUCUGGCUCCAAGAGAAGUCAUCCAUGGAAGUGAAAAUCAACCCUUUGCACUCAAGUCUGUGCUGGGUUGGAGCAUUGUCGGGUAUAACAGUACCGUCAAUGAUUAUGAAGAUGAAAUAGGUGUAAGUCACCAUAUCAUUGCUAAGCAAGUCAUACCACUUACAAUGCCUUCCUCUGAACUCAAGUCAGAAGUCCAUUUUUCUGCUAGAACCCAAGUUAAAGAAGUUAUCUCCCCAUCAGACAUGAUAAAGGUUUUUGAGUCAGACUUCUCUGAAAGAAAGGGUGGAGAAGCUCCAAUAUCACAAGAAGACUUGCGGUUCCUUGCAAUACUGAAAGAAAAUAUAAAGCAGAAGCAGGACGGACACUACCAGAUGCCAUUGCCUUUUAAGGUAGAGAGGCCAAGUCUACCUAACAACAGAGCAUGUGCUGAAUAUAGACUAAAAUGCCUAAGAAAACGACUACAAAGAGAUGAGAAGUAUUGCAAAGAUUAUGUAGCCUUCAUGAAGGACAUGAUAGAAAGAGGGGAUGAAAGAGUUCCAAAGACAGAAAUAGACAGUCAAACAGUAUGGUAUAUUCCCCACCAUGGGGUUUAUCACCCUAAAAAGCCCGGAAAAAUUAGGGUCGUGUUUGAUUGUUCUGCCCAAUUUCAGAACACAUCACUCAACAAACAUCUGUUGACUGGACCAGACCUUACAAAUAAUCUCACUGGGGUCCUGUGUCGUUUCAGAAAGGGACAGAUAGCCAUUAUGUGUGACGUGGAACGUAUGUUUCAUCAGUUUCAUGUGGACCCACAAGACCAAGACUACCUCAGAUUUCUAUGGUGGGAGGGUGGCAAGAUGGACGAUCCACCAUCAGUGUAUCGUAUGAAGGUCCACUUGUUCGGUGCUGCAUCUUCACCAGGAUGCGCCAACUUCGGGCUUAAACACCUGGCGACUCAAGGAGAUGAACAGUUCAGUGAGCAAACAGUGAAGUUUAUCCAACGCAACUUUUACGUUGAUGAUGGAUUGACAAGUGUAGACAGCGAAGCUGAAGCUAUUCAGCUUGUCCAAGAAGCAAGGGAGCUUUGCAGCACUGGAAUGCUUCACUUGCACAAGUUCAUCAGCAAUAAGAAAGUAGUGCUAGACACAUUACCAAAGGAAGAGUGUGCAGAUGGAGCAACCAACCUUGACAUGGCUUUUGGAGAACCAAAAAUGGAAAGAGCUCUUGGUGUCCAAUGGAGCAUCAGUUCUGACAAGUUCCAGUUCCGAGUUGAAAUUAAAGAAAAUCCCUUCACCAAAAGAGGAGUACUGUCCACAGUAGCUUCAAUCUUUGAUCCCCUUGGAUUUUUGGCACAGAGGAGGGUUCAAUUUCUAUCAAAUGAGUUCUGGACCAGGUGGAAAAGGGAGUAUUUGCUCAAUUUACAACAAAGAAGAAAAUGGACUACUGAGAGACGGAAUGCUAAAGUAAAUGACAUUGUCUUACUGUUGGACGACAACCUGCCAAGAAACCAGUGGAAGUUGGCAAGGAUAGUGGAAGUCUUCCCAGCUGCAGACAACAGGGUUAGAAAGGUCAAGCUGUUAGUUAGUAACACAUUUUUGGACAACAGAGGCAAGCGCACAUCCCAGCCACUUUAUUUAGAGAGAGCCAUACAUAAAACAGUGCUAUUACUUGAAGCAGAGUAAAGGGUUAUCUUAAGAAGGUGCCUUUGUUUACUGUUGGUAGUUUUUUUUUGUUGUUUAACAAGUUAUUGUAUAUAGUUUAAAUGAAUCACUUUGUGUGAUUGGUGGGAGUGUGAAUGCUGUGAAAACAUCAUUGUAAAAUGCUUCUUUUUAUUUUUGAUGAAACCGGAGCUCGUGCUCUUAUUUUGAAAGGCACACUUGCCUUUCUCAACAACUUCCGGUUAGCUUAACGUGUGCACUCGUUUUUUUUCUAACGUAUGAAAGGAAGCUGAUAUAUGCUGAAUACGUUCAGAUUAAUAUAAGAGACUAACAGCAAGCAAAACUUGUUUUCUCCCCUCCCAUUCGGAGCUACAAGCAGGCAAAGUGUUCUACGGUGGUUUAUGGUGCUGCAUGAUGCUAGCUUUGCUAGUCAAUAACGGCACAAAUAAAGAACGCCAUCUGUAAAAAGAA